GACAGGUGGUGCAUGGUUGUCGUCAGCUCGUGUCGUGAGAUGUUGGGUUAAGUCCCGCAACGAGCGCAACCCUUGAUUUUAGUUGCCAGCAUUUAGUUGGGCACUCUAAAGUGACUGCCGGUGCAAGCCGGAGGAAGGUGGGGAUGACGUCAAAUCAUCAUGCCCCUUAUGACCUGGGCUACACACGUGCUACAAUGGAUGGUACAAAGGGUCGCGAAGCCGCGAGGUGGAGCCAAUCCCAUAAAACCAUUCUCAGUUCGGAUUGUAGGCUGCAACUCGCCUACAUGAAGCCGGAAUCGCUAGUAAUCGUGGAUCAGCAUGCCACGGUGAAUACGUUCCCGGGCCUUGUACACACCGCCCGUCACACCACGAGAGUUUGUAACACCCGAAGUCGGUAGGGUAACCUUUAUGGAGCCAGCCGCCGAAGGUGGGACAGAUAAUUGGGGUGAAGUCGUAACAAGGUAGCCGUAUCGGAAGGUGCGGCUGGAUCACCUCCUUUCUAAGGAA
rnacentral:rRNA from 1 species